AUGCUGCGCGCCGCCGUUCUCGCCGUCGUCGCCGGCUUCGCCGCCGCCGGAUUCAUCUCAAGUUGGUCCACGGUCAUCCUCGUUACGGCACUUGAUUCCCAUAUUAUUAUUUUGACGACGUGGUUCGGCUUUCUUGAUCCGUGGUUUGAUCAUCUGACCGAUCUGCCGUUGCGCCCCGUGGAUGCAGAUGACGCGCUCCAGUCGCACUCGCACGGCCGGAGCUUGCUGCAGGCCAAGAAGGAAUGCCCGGUGACCUUCGAGGGGGCCAACUACACCCUCAUCACGAGCAAGUGCAAGGGCCCCCUGUACCAGCCGGCGCUGUGCUGCGCGGCGCUCGCGGAGUUCGCGUGCCCCUACGACACCUACAUCAACGACCUCGCCACCAACUGCGCCGCCACCAUGUUCAGCCUCAUCCACCUCUACGGCAAGUACCCGGCGGGGCUCUUCGCCAAUACAUGCAAGGGGGACAACCUGGGGCUCAAAUGCCCUGAGGACGUCCCGCAGGUCCAGCCGGGCGAGGAGGGCAAGAGCUCCGCCGCCGUUGCUACUGCCGCACAGGCGGCACUCGUCGCGGCCAGCGCGGCUGUCAUGUCCCUGCUCAUUGUAAUGUCUUGA
rnacentral:rRNA from 1 species